GACGGGGGCCCGCACAAGCGGUGGAGCAUGUGUUUGAAUUGGACGCAACGCGCAGAACCUUACCUGGGUUUGAGCAUGUCCGGCGCGAGUUUGUGAGAGGAAGCGUUCCUUCGGGACGUGGUCACAGGUGCUGCAUGGCUGUCGUCAGCUCGUGUCGUGAGAUGUUGGGUUAAGUCCCGCAACGAGCGCAACCCUUAUCCGUAGUGACCAGCAGGUGAGGCUGGGGACUCUACGGGGACUGCCGGUGUGAAGCCGGAGGAAGGUGGGGAUGACGUCAAGUCCUCAUGGCCCUUACGCCCAGGGCUACACACGUGCUACAAUGGCAAGGACAGCGGGGGGCGACCGUGCGAGCGGGAGCGAAUCCUGAAACCUUGUCGCAGUUCGGAUUGGAGUCUGCAACUCGACUCCAUGAAGGUGGAAUCGCUAGUAAUCGCGGAUCAGCAUGCCGCGGUCGAUACGUUCCCGGGCCUUGUACACACCGCCCGUCACACCACGAAAGUUGGGUGUACCCGAAGUUGCCGGGCUAACCUUGCAAGGGGAGG
rnacentral:rRNA from 1 species